CGUGUAGGCGGUUGAAAAGUCAGGUGUGAAAUUCUUCGGCUCAACCGAGGGACUGCGCCUGAAACUUUUCGACUGGAGUUCGGGAGGGGCAACUGGAAUUCCUGGUGUAACGGUGAAAUGUGUAGAUAUCAGGAGGAACACCGGUGGCGAAGGCGGGUUGCUGGACCGAAACUGACGCUGAGAUGCGAAAGCGUGGGUAGCAAACAG
rnacentral:rRNA from 1 species